rnacentral:tRNA from 1 species
GGGAGCUUGGCUGAGUGGCUUAAAGCACCCGCCUUCUAAUCGGGCGACGGAUUGCAUCCGUCCGUGGGUUCAAAUCCCACAGCUCCCG